GCUCCGGUGGCCUAGUGGUUAGAGCGUCCGCCGCGGAAGCAAGAAGUGACGGGUUUGAUACCCGGCUGAGACA